AUGAAGGAACAUAACUCAAACAUGAAUAAACAACAAAAUGAAACUAAGAACUUGGAAAAAACUGCAUCUAUUAAAUCAAAAGUAAACAUAAAUUCUAUUCGCCUAACCUGCUUCGUUUCUAGCAACGCCUGUAGUUAUAAUUUCAUAUUUAUAACUAUGAGAUUUGGUGUAGUCAAAAUUCUAUGCAAUCAUUUUUAG